rnacentral:miRNA from 1 species
AUUUGUAUUAAUGGGGGAAUAUUGUUAAAAUGCAGAGCCUGAUUCAGUAAGUCUGGAGAAGUGAUGGAGAUUCUGCAUUUUAAACAAGCUUCUAGGUAAUGCCUUU